GCACUUCUGAGGUGUCUCACGAUAGGACGAAACGGCCGUCCAGUGC
rnacentral:hammerhead_ribozyme from 1 species